AGCAGUACAGAGCUGCAGCCACUACUUCCCAGGGACCGGAUCUUUCUCCUGUGCCAGAGUGUUUUACCACUGUCUGUCACUCAGUCACCUAGUCAUUCAACAGAGACUUACAGCACACCCCCAGAGUGCCAGCCACAGGCCUGAUUUCACAGCACCUCGGCCCUUACACCUGGAAAAGCACUGUCGAUCAUUUAGAGAUGACAAAGACGGGAGCCGUAAAAGGCGAGAGUAGAGCUAUUUCAUCGUGUUAUUGUACGGCUUGCCUUUGAUGGAUCAGCCUCCGCGGAGGGGAAGGGCCUUCGGAUGGAUAAGCCUUCCUUUCCCAACAGAACAAGAAGAAGCCCCAACAGCAGAAGGACAGGAGGCUCUUUUGUCAUCUCCCCUCUCCCAUGUGACAAGCCUGGGUAUCAGGAUGCAGCAAAGAAGUAUUGCUCCUCAGGAUGACCUUGAACCUGAGUAGGAAGAUGAGUCAUUCAAAUGAUGGAAACUAGAGAACAUAAAACCAUCAUGGCCUGGUCAACCACGCACAAGGUUCCAGAGCCACCUUUCUGAGCCAAUACACUUUCUUUGUCUCUCUA